rnacentral:rRNA from 1 species
CACGAACGCUGGCGGCAGGCUUAACACACGCAAGUCGAGCGCCCCGCAAGGGGAGCGGCAGACGGGUGAGUAACGCGUGGGAAUCUACCCAUCUCUACGGAAUAACGCAUGGAAACGUGUGCUAAUACCGUAUACGUCCUUCGGGAGAAAGAUUUAUCGGAGAUGGAUGGGCCCGCGUUGGAUUAGCUAGUUGGUGGGGUAAAGGCCUACCAAGGCGACGAUCCAUAGCUGGUCUGAGAGGAUGAUCAGCACACUGGGACUGAGACACGGCCCAGACUCCUACGGGAGGCAGCAGUGGGGAAUAUUGGACAAUGGGCGCAAGCCUGAUCCAGCCAUGCCGCGUGAGUGAUGAAGGCCCUAGGGUUGUAAAGCUCUUUCACCGGUGAAGAUAAUGACGGUAACCGGAGAAGAAGCCCCGGCUAACUUCGUGCCAGCCGCCGCCGUAACAC